rnacentral:rRNA from 1 species
UACGUAGGGGGCAAGCGUUAUCCGGAAUUACUGGGUGUAAAGGGAGCGUAGACGGUAAUGUAAGUCUGGAGUGAAAGGCGGGGGCCCAACCCCCGGACUGCUCUGGAAACUAUGUUACUAGAGUGCAGGAGAGGUAAGCGGAAUUCCUAGUGUAGCGGUGAAAUGCGUAGAUAUUGGGAGGAACACCAGUGGCGAAGGCGGCUUACUGGACUGUAACUGACGUUGAGGCUCGAAAGCGUGGGGAGCAAACAGG